rnacentral:rRNA from 1 species
UACGGAGGGUGCGAGCGUUGUCCGGAAUCACUGGGCGUAAAGGGCGCGUAGGCGGCCUGAUAAGUAGGGGGUGAAAUCCUGUGGCUUAACCACAGGGCUGCCUCCGAGACUGUCGGGCUCGAGCACAGUAGAGGCAGGUGGAAUUCCCGGUGUAGCGGUGGAAUGCGUAGAGAUCGGGAAGAACAUCGGUGGCGAAGGCGGCCUGCUGGGCUGUUGCUGACGCUGAGGCGCGACAGCGUGGGGAGCAAACAGG